rnacentral:rRNA from 1 species
UGCCAGCCGCCGCGGUAAUACGGAGGGUCCGAGCGUUAUCCGGAAUCAUUGGGUUUAAAGGGUCCGUAGGCGGGAAUCUAAGUCAGUGGUGAAAUCUUGCAGCUCAACUGUAAAAUUGCCAUUGAUACUGGAUUUCUUGAAUUAGUGUGAAGUGGUUAGAAUGUGUAGUGUAGCGGUGAAAUGCAUAGAUAUUACACAGAACGCCGAUUGCGAAGGCAACUUACUAAGCCAUUACUGACGCUGAGGCACGAAAGCGUGGGGAGCGAACAGGAUUAGAUA